AUAAUAAAAAGGAAUUGAAGGAAAGAAGUGCGAAAAUCACUCGCUGGUCCGCAGCCGUAAUAGCCGGAAUGCUUCAAUUGU
rnacentral:ncRNA from 2 species